AUCGAAUGAUAAAGCGAUUAGUGGAUUAAAUUGGACGAAAGAAAAGUUAGAAAUUGAAAGGUAUGGAGGUGGCAACUUCAAGGAUUAAAGGAGGCACUUUGCCAAUAAUAUAUAAACCCUUUUCAUUUGAUUUAAACCAGCAAAAAAAUCAAAUUCAGCUAGCAAAAUCGUUCAUCCUACUCCUCCAUUGAAGAACAUUCAACAAAACUUGAAAUCACCAUAACUUUUUCAUUUGUGGUCCGAUUGAUGCGAUUCUUACGGCCACGGAAAGAGGAAGACGACCUCUACUGAUUGAGACCAGAAAUUUAAGGUGUUUAUUAGCUUCCAUGGACCAAUUUUGAUGAUGAAUCUUGGAGCUAGACCCUUUGGAUUUGAGGCUUCAAUCAAGAUCGGACGAGCGACUAUCGAAAAAGGUUUGAGGCAAACGGAUCGAGAUAUCGUCAUAAUUAUUUGAAGAAUUUGGAUAGCAAGUGGGAUAGCAUGAUAUUAUUUGGAAAGUCAAGCUUCCGAAGUUUUAAUUCUCGGAAGUCAUUUGCACAACAAGUGAAAGAAGGUUUUCAUUCUAGCAGUCCGCAGUAGUCUAGAUUUUUUUGUCUAUGUAUUUGACUAGCGCAUUUUAACUCUGAUAUUUUUGUAAAAUGGGGUCACAUGUAUUUUGAUAUAUGAAAAAAAUGAUUUGAUUUACGAAAAAUUUACACAGGUUUUUAGGCUUGCUACGGGUUUCGGAGCUACCACUCCCAUUCCCUAGCGCUGGUUGCGGCUCGAGAAAUCGGGUCGUGACAUA